GGAGACGUGGCCGAGUGGUUGAAGGUACUCCCCUGCUAAGGGAGCAUGUGGGUUAAACUGCAUCGAGGGUUCGAAUCCCUCCGUCUCCGCCA
rnacentral:tRNA from 3 species